rnacentral:rRNA from 1 species
GAGUUUGAUCCUGGCUCAGGAUGAACGCUAGCGGCAGGCUUAACACAUGCAAGUCGAGGGGUAACAUAGGAAGCUUGCUUUCUGAUGACGACCGGCGCACGGGUGCGUAACGCGUAUACAAUCUACCUUAUACUGGGGUAUAGCCUUUAGAAAUGAAGAUUAAUCCCCCAUAGUCUCUUAGAGUGGCAUCACUUCUAGAGUAAAGGUUACGGUAUAAGAUGAGUAUGCGUUCUAUUAGUUUGUUGGUGUGGUAACGGCACACCAAGACUACGAUAGAUAGGGGCCCUGAGAGGGGGAUCCCCCACACUGGUACUGAGACACGGACCAGACUCCUACGGGAGGCAGCAGUGAGGAAUAUUGGACAAUGGGCGAGAGCCUGAUCCAGCCAUGCCGCGUGCAGGAAGACUGCCCUAUGGGUUGUAAACUGCUUUUAUACAGGAAGAAACACUCCCUCGUGAGGGAGCUUGACGGUACUGUAAGAAUAAGGAUCGGCUAACUCCGUGCCAGCAGCCGCGGUAAUACGGAGGAUCCAAGCGUUAUCCGGAAUCAUUGGGUUUAAAGGGUCCGUAGGUGGAUAAUUAAGUCAGAGGUGAAAUCUUGCAGCUCAACUGUAAAAUUGCCUUUGAUACUGGUUAUCUUGAGUUAUUAUGAAGUAGUUAGAAUAUGUAGUGUAGCGGUGAAAUGCAUAGAUAUUACAUAGAAUACCAAUUGCGAAGGCAGAUUACUAACAAUAUACUGACACUGAUGGACGAAAGCGUGGGUAGCGAACAGGAUUAGAUACCCUGGUAGUCCACGCCGUAAACGAUG